UAGAGUUUGAUCCUGGCUCAGAACGAACGCUGGCGGCAGGCCUAACACAUGCAAGUCGAACGCCCCGCAAGGGGAGUGGCAGACGGGUGAGUAACGCGUGGGAAUAUCCCCCUUGGUACGGAAUAACUCGGGGAAACUCGAGCUAAUACCGUAUGAUCCGGUAACGGCAAAGAUUUAUCGCCGAGGGAAUAGCCCGCGUUGGAUUAGCUAGUUGGUGAGGUAACGGCUCACCAAGGCUACGAUCCAUAGCUGGUCUGAGAGGAUGAUCAGCCACACUGGGACUGAGACACGGCCCAGACUCCUACGGGAGGCAGCAGUGGGGAAUCUUGGACAAUGGGCGCAAGCCUGAUCCAGCCAUGCCGCGUGAGUGAUGAAGGCCUUAGGGUUGUAAAGCUCUUUCGCUCGUGACGAUGAUGACGGUAACGAGAGAAGAAGCCCCGGCUAACUUCGUGCCAGCAGCCCCGGUCAA
rnacentral:rRNA from 1 species